rnacentral:tRNA from 1 species
CCUCAUAGCUUAGUUGGUAAAUCAUCUGCUUGCAAUGCAGGAGAUCCGGGUUCAAUUCCCGGGUUGAGAA